CUUCCCGCAGGGUAGCAGGCCGGAGUCGGUCUCAGCCUGUAAUUCGAGGGUUAGUGUUCAGGGUUCUGAGGUUUCCUGGAGCCUCCUCGGCCUUUCACCGCCUCCUACACGCUUGGAGGAGGCGUGGGACUUGCGUCUGACAGAGACAGGCACUUCCCAGAGCCCCAGCGUCACAGCCUUGGGAAAGAGCUGUUCUCCUAUGCCUAUUCCAUUGGAGUGUGGUGAGAUGGGAACCCGUGCAGCCGCAGCUUUUCUCGGACACCUGUGUUUGGGAGGGGACAGGCGGGCACUCCGGAGACCCGACUGCGCAUGGGAAGCAGAGAGUUUAGGGCAUUUGGGGUCUAGAGUCUUCUGCCGCUCUAUGUUUCCCCCCAGGGUUCCACCAGGUUGGUGCAGGUUGACCUCGUGUUAGGCUGCACCCUGCAGGUCUGCAAGCCUUGUAGUUGCCCAGCAGCGGGUUGCAAGAAAGAGCAUGGAGACAGCGGUAGAGACAUCAAGGGUUUAUUGGACAGGAAAUCUUUCAGCUCUGAAGCAAAGGCCCUGGGGUGAUACCCCACUGUGUAUGGCAGACAUCAGGCAGGACACAGGCAGUAGUCUUCCUCUGGGAGAGGAGAAGGAGGAGGAGGUUACCAAUUAUUGGGGAAUUGAUGUCAGGUGGGCUCAUUGGUUUCCAGGGAAACCAGUAGAAGAGUGUGUCCCUCAUUGCCCCUUUGGUUAACAACCAUCACUGGGGCAGGUGUUGCCCCUUGAUAAACUAGCAUGGUGUAGCCAUUCUGGUCUUGAGCUCAGACAGCAGUGAGCAGUGGCUUGAAGUGAGAUUUUAGUUCCCUGCCCAGGAUUUGGACCUGGGUAGCCCAAAAGAAAACCAGGAAUCCUAGCUGCUAGACCACCAAAGGCUAGGGGCUAGAAGCGAAGUUCCCCUGGCUCUUGCCUCAUUUGAAAAAUGAAUUUCUCAAGGAGGCAGAAACAGGUACAAAGUUUAUUGUUAGAGACACAACACAACAAGUUGGGGAGCACACGGAGAAACAGUUUGUUUAUUUAAGACAGAAGCAAGAUAGAGAUAUGCACCCAGAGAGAAAGGGUGUGGGUGUCCUCCCUAAUGAGGAGAAGCGCAGUAGAGAGGAGGUCAAAUCAUUGGGGCUCGUGCAAAGACGAGGAACAGGCACCCUUGCUCACUCCCUGAGAGGAGCUGCUUUGGUCCUUAAAUGGGGUAACAAUGGGAGCAGAUCCAUGGGUUGGGUAGGAGGCGUAGCCUAGGUGGUCAGCCCACCCCCUUGGUGGUGCUGUGUACCACGCUUUUGCUCCCAGCCCCUCAGAAACGGCAGUUGGUUUGUGGCUUUUUGUAUUUUUGUUCAUAAUUGCCCCAACUGCGUGUGUGUGCAGUUAUUUUUAGUCCCUUAGUUUCAUUGUAUUCCGUUGCUCAAGGAGAUGUCUGUCCAGGUGCACGCACUCUGGGUCCCAGGUCCCAGCCUAUCUCAGAAGGACCCAUAGGACAUUUCUGGAAAAACGAAGGCAGUGAACGGCCUCAGGGGUGACCAGCUGCAGUGUCAGAACUGCAGCGUAUCCAGAGCUGUGAACCCAGACAUUCUAGUCUUCUACUUUCUUUGCGUGCAUGUGAAAGUGAGGGGCAGAGAUGGUAGUGGAGACUGGGUUUUGACCAAUCUUCAAAAAGACCAGAUAUCUCAGGCAACCCUUUCCCUGGCUACUGCCAUUCUCCACAGAAGUCAUGUGAGGAGAGAAUUGCUGCUGUACAUCAAAAAAUCAAAUUCAAGGUUUACUCUCCAGGUAUAAGACCAAGAAGUUAUCUCCAGAGGACAUUUAUGAAAUCAGUUUAUCCUGAUGGAAGAUAAUAGGAGGAAGUAAAACUCCUUGUCUUAAAGGAUCUAUUUUGAGAAAUGAGUGGCAGAGCAAAACAUCAGAAAAUUCAUACAGGCAAGAAACCCUGUGAAUGUAAGGAAUGUGGGAAAACUUUUAGUGCAUGUGGUCAACUUACCUGUCAGCAGAAAAUUCAUACAGGCAAGAAGCCCUGUGAAUGUUAAGGAAUGUGGGAAGGCCUUUAGACUUGAUUUUUACCUCAUUGAACACAGAAGAAUACAUACAGGAAGUUCGUAUUAGGAAAUAAACCUGUUAAUGUAACUGUUAACCAAGAAUUCCAAGAACAGAGACCUGGUUGAAGAAAAAAAGGAAAAAAGCGCUUUUAUUUGGGGUUUGUUAGAACUGCAGCCCAAGAAACACAACCCACUCGAAUUGUGUUCUGCUGGACUAUAAAAUGGGGUAGGCUUAAAAAGGUAAAAAACUGCAAAGUUACAUAAGUUGUCAAGAAUUAGGAUGUGAGCUGGCAAGAGGUAAGGGUGCUUGUUAAACAAGGAUGCUUUGGGGUUACAUAAUUGUGUCGGGGGUGGGAGACUUUUAAACUACAAGGUUGCAACUAGCAGCUGCUAGCAAAUACUGUUUUGAAAACAGCUGGUGCUGUCCUUGAGUUUAAUACAAUUCAGAGAAAAUUCAAGUUCUCAGUGAUGCAUGAAUGUGUCUCAGACCAGAUCCUCAGUGUCUGCCAGAUUACAUUUUUGUAUGCCUGAACUAUGAAUACUCCAUUAUAAUUUCAAUUUGUCAUCAAAAUAAUUGUGGGGAAGUUUUUAAUCAAUGACAUAUACUUAUCAUCAUUGCCUUUACUAUCUGUGUGAUAGUGGGCAACACAUUUACCCUUCAGUGUGUCAUUUAUAAAAUGGUACCCACCUAAAAGUGUGGUUGAUAGUUUAUAACAUGUACAAUUUUGCAAAAACUACCUGGCCAAAAAACUCCUUUGAAUGAAAAAUAGAUAUGAUAAUUUUUAUUAUUAUCAACAUUAUACUUAAUGAGUUUCUUAAUAUAAAGACAUAAUGAAGGUAACAAAUUUAGAAAGCCAUUCAUCACUUAUUGUAUUUCAGGAAAUUCAUCUUUGAUAAAAUCCAUAAGAAUAUAAAGAACAUGUAAAGAUCAAAUGCAGACUUCAUUGCUUAAGUUCUACCAGAAAAUUAGAGCUGAAAAGUAACCCUAAGGAUUUAAUGAGUGUGAGAAUAUUAAGAAUAUAGCUGGUGAAACAUCAGGGAAUGGUGUGAAGGAUUUUACCAAUAAUAUAGAAGUUAAAAGGAUAACAAAGAGCAAACUGCCUAGAAAAUAUUUACCAACUUUAUUAUGAAAAAUUUCUGACAAAAACAUAGAACACAUUCUGUAAUGAACAUCCAUUUACCCUUCACCUAGAUUUGAAAAUUUACACUUUGUAUAUUUGCUUCAUUUUUCUAUAAAAUAUAAUUUUUGCUGUACCAUUUAAUAAUAAAUUGUAAACAUUUUAUCACUUUACCCUCAAUAAAUCAGUUUGUAUCCUAGAAGUUAGGAUAUUACCAAAAUAUUAUAAUCAUACCUUAAAAAUUAAUUCUAUACAUUCUAUAUUCUGUCCAUAUUUAAUUUUCCCUAAUAUUCUCAAGAAUAUCUUUUAACAAGGAUUCACUCUCCAGGCUCAUACUUGUUAGUGGUUAUGUCACUUUUAAACUGAACAGCACUCCCCCAUCUUUGUUUCAUGGUUAUGUUUUUUUGAAGAAUCCAUCACAGUUGUCUUAGAAUGUCUUAAGUUCUUGGUUUGUCAAAUUUAUUUCCUCAUAAUGUUGUUCAUCUUGUUACACUGUUUCUAAAUUGGAACUUAAGUAGAAGCUUGAUUUGCCUCUUGUUAAACAUUUUUAGCAAGAACACUUCACAGGUAUCUGUGACUGCCAGAUCUCUCAUUAUAAAACUAGCUUAUUUUUUUGCAAUUCGUAAGUAAUUGGGUAAUAAUUUGCACCUCCUGUUGGAAAUGUAUAAUAAUCUAUAUGUAUAAAACAAGUAAUAGAUUAAACUGAAAGUCAAAUUUUAAAUUAUAACCCAUUCAGAGAGGACUGGUACUAAAAUGUUUGUAUUUCAAAAUUUGUGAGAUGUAGCCAAACCUCUACUCAGUGUGAAAUUAACAUCCUUCGAUGCAUACAGAAAACUAAAAUUAAGGGAUGGGACUUUUUGUUAUCUCCCACCUCAGCUCCUAUUCCAGUGUCUUUCUCAUAUAUUAGGCACUUGAUAAAACUUGAAAAAAAUAAGCAGUCAAGUGAAAAAGUUAAAAUAAAAUGAAUACUAACAGAAGGAAGUAGUUAAUGCAAUUUAAACUAGAAAUUAAUUUUAAAAAACACUCGUAGACUUACCCAAUUUUUCCAAUUUAAAUUAGAAAUUAGUUUUAAAAAACACUCGUAGACUUACCCAAUUUUUCCAAUUUGAUAAAAGAAAAAUGACACAAUUAUAGCAGCAUGAAUAACAAGAGGAAUAUUAUUAACACAGAUACUGAUGUUGUUCUUUGUGAGGAAAUAUUAUGUAAAUUUAUUUCAAUAUAUACAAAAUUCCAGUUAAUGAAUUAUUGUCUAGGAAGUGAACUUUAUUGAAAUUGAUAAAACAUAAGCCUGAAAAGACCAUUAAUGAGUGGGAAAGUUAAAUUUAGCAAAAAAGCUCCUUUUUAUGAGCCAGCACUUACAAUCUGUUAGCUCCUUGGAUAAAAACUUCAAGGAGAUAAUCCUUAACAGAAUUUUCCCAGUUCAUGCUGCAUGACUGAUGUAAUCCAGAUGACAAAACUAGAGAAUAGUUAUUAAAAGGCAAAUCUAGAUGAGUUCUAAUUAAAUAGAAAAGGCAAAAAGCUAAAUAGAAUAUUUGUCAGCAAAAUGAUAUAAAAACAUUAUGCAGUAAAUUCUCAUUUAUUUGAAAUAAACCAGCAUUGGAAAUUUCUAAUUAUGUACAUAUCUAGCUUAAAUGAUUGAAAACAGAACUUGAUUAAUUCUCUUUUAUCUUCUAGAUUCAUUCUCUUAGCCUUACUAUCACUGAUAUUGUCCUGAUUUCUCAAAAUGAAAAAGUGCUCUCUCAUUUUAACAUUUUGAAGGUGAUACAAUUUAACAAUCAGUGGCAUCCUGUAAUUACUUUCAAGUAAAUACCAACCAAGAUUUUUAUGUGUAUGAAAAGCUUUCAUUGGUAUUUUCUGGUAAGAUCAACAGUGUUCCAGUAUCAAAACAUUUUAUAUUUGAUGGAAUGUAUUGUAUGUAUAUACACUUGCCUAUACACACUCUAGACGUAAGGAUUUAAAUUUAAUUCUUUAUAAGAGUUUCUUGAAAACAACCGCCAAAACAAAGGCACUUCAAUGUUUUUGUUUAGAUUUUAAUAAAUGGUGCUGGGACUCUUAUACAUACAAUGCAUACCACAUACAGGCAGCUCCUGAAAAUCUAAAUAACUUCUGGUGAAUAUCAGAGAAUACCUGAAGUACUUGGCAUUAGAUCAUCUAAGGAAAGCCGAUGAUCUAAGACCAGAACACGAGAGAAUAUACACCACAAUUUAAAAAGUAAGUGUGGCAUAAUGUGAUCUAUGUCUAGGGUUUGUCACAAGGAGCAUGAGUGGAGACAAUGGCAACAGUGAGAUUGCUGGGAGAAGUAAUUUCACCUAGCAUAUCACCCUUUCUUAAACUAGUUAGUAAGUACUAUUGUUUGCUUCUGGGAGAAUGUGAGAGGCUACUGAUUGGUAUUAUUCUGGAAAAAACAGGAGCAUCCCUAUACUUAGGACUAGCUGGCAAGGAAUUUUGUACCACAGUAGCCCUCCUGCUAGCCUGUCUCUCUCUAAAAACAAAUCAGAGUACAAAUCAAGGCAGCACAUCCUAGUCCUGCCCUGAGGCAGAUUACAUCAAAAGGAUCCUCAAGUGUAAAACUGAGUAUAUGUCAGAAUACCAAACAUUUGAUAAAAGUAGAUUCUCAUAAAAUAGAGAAACAAAGCUAACCAACUGGAAAUACUACCAGUAGAAUAAACAGAACAGGACUUUUAAGUAUGAAUAGCAUCCUCAAAAUGAUGUGAACAUAUAUACUAUAUCCCCAAAACAGAAUCUACUAGAGAUUACACAAGUUAUUUAAAUGUUUUUGCGAAAAUAACUCAGUAGAGGGACUUCUGUUUCUAAAAAGAUGGAAUACAUGUCCUUUUCCCUGUUCUUCCUGCUAAAUACAACUCAAAACUCUGGACAUUAUAUAUAAAACAUACAAGAUGACUCUCAAAGAUGAAGAGAAGCUAGGGACCACAGGACCUAAGGAGCAACAUGGGGUGAGUUCCACAGGUUUCAUUUUUAUCCCAAACUUGGAGCUAAAGAAGCUGGUAAUUGAAAUGCUAAUGUGCAGAGACUGAAAAAAAGUCUCAAGAAAAGCCUGUUCUCUCCAACCAGAGAAACAGGAAAGGACAGCCUAACAAGACAUGAAACUUUUAAACAACUGCUCUACUUCAGGCAAACACCACCAAAAAAUCUGUGGCCCUAUCCCCACCACUGACACCAGAGGCCAAAUGGAGACUCUAGCCCUCUGACCUUUAUUAGGUUGUAAAAAGUAUCCCCAAUGUCCCCACCAGAUUGUGUCAGAAAAAGUUGAGCAUGAAGUCCACCCUUUAAUGGGCCCCUCCACUACCAGUACGAUGUCAAUGGUGCCUAAAUGGGGAGCCUGACCUUCCAUAACCAAUGAAAAUAUUGUUCAGGAAAUGAGAAAUCGAGAACAGCCUCAGAUGAAAAUGAUUUUUAACAACAGGCAUACCCUCAAAGAAUGACUUCCAGGAUUUGUUGCCAACAAAACUAUCCCCAAAGAAUGCCUAAAGAAAUACCUGUAAACAAAAAUGAAACAUUAAAGAAUUGUGGAAAACAAGGAAGGUAGACAGAACACCAUAAGAGCAAAACUGUGGGUAAAAUAGAUUUUCCUUUCCUUAAUUAUGUUUGACAGUUUAAACAAAAAUCAUAACACUGUCUAAUGUGGUCUUCAAGAAAUAUUCAAGUCAAUUAGAAAUGAGAGAGAAGAAAGGAAAGUAAGGUUUCUACACUUACAGUGGAUAAAUGUUGAACCAUUAUACUUCAGUAUGUACAGCUGGCCCUCCAUGUCUAUGGGUUCCAUAUCCACAGGUUGAAAAUACUUGAAAAAAAAAUUCCAGAAAGUUCCAAAAAGCUAAACUUAAAUUUGCCACAUGCUGGCAACUAUUUACAUAGCAUUUACAUUGUAUUCCCAACUAUUUACAUAACAUUUAUAUUUUAUUAAGUAUUAUAAGUAGUCUAGAGAUAAUUUAUAGUAUACAAGCAUGUGUGUAGGUUAUAUGCAAGUACUACACCAUUUUAUGUAAGUAGGGAAUUGGGCAUCUGUGGAUUUUGGUAUAUGCAGUGGGUCCAGGCAUUAAUACACUGUACCAGGGGACAACUGUAUAUAUUAUGUCAUGCCUAGAACAACUCCUAAAAAAAAAUAUGAGACCCCACAAAUACUCUACUCUAAACAGAAAAAUAGCAGAGUAGGAAACUACAGCAGUCCAUCCAACCACAAAAAGUAAUUAAUAGACUGGCAAAAACAGAAUCAACUUUUUCAAAAAUCUGGUAACUAAUCAGAAGUGAACAGCAUUCAGAGAACUUCUGAAUCAAGAGAAAAACAAGUGUUAUCAUAAUAAGUGAAGUAAGAAAGACAAAUACCAUAUGAUAUCACUUACAUAUGUAGUCUAAAAUAUAACACAAAUGAACUUAUCUAUGAAACAGAAACAGACUUAAAGGUAUAGAGAACAGACUUAUGGUUGCCAAG